rnacentral:rRNA from 1 species
UACGGAGGGUGCAAGCGUUAUCCGGAUUUAUUGGGUUUAAAGGGUGCGUAGGCGGCCUGUUAAGUCAGGGGUGAAAGACGGUAGCUCAACUAUCGCAGUGCCCUUGAUACUGAUGGGCUUGAAUGGACUAGAGGUAGGCGGAAUGAGACAAGUAGCGGUGAAAUGCAUAGAUAUGUCUCAGAACACCGAUUGCGAAGGCAGCUUACUAUGGUCUUAUUGACGCUGAGGCACGAAAGCGUGGGGAUCAAACAGG